rnacentral:rRNA from 1 species
GACGAACGCUGGCGGCGUGCUUAACACAUGCAAGUCGAACGGAGUGGCGAACGGGCGAGUAACACGUGGGUGACCUUCCCUCCACUUCGGGAUAAGACUGGGGAACUGGGUCUAAUACCGGCUAGUGUGGGAUGGGCGCGGGGCCUAUGAGCUUGUUGGGGGGGUAAUGGCCUGCCACGGCGGCGACGGGUAGCCGGCCUGAGAGGGUGGACGGCCACAAUGGGCCUGAGACACGGACCAGUGGCGUACGGUGGGCAGGAGUGGGGAAUAUGGCGCAAUAGGCGGAAGUCAGAUGCGGCGACGCCGCGGGGGGGAUGACGGCCUGCGGGUUGUAAACGCCUUUCGCCAAAGAAGCGGUAAAUAGAGAAGAAGCACCGGCUAACUACGUGCCAGCAGCCGCGGUAAUAC